CAUUCACAGGGAAGUGAGGGGUGGCCACCCCGAAGUCCAUAAUCCACGGCCGGGGCCAAUCCUCUACGGAUACAUAUUGAUUUCUGAAUCAUGAUGAGGACUUGUAUAUUGAAAAAAUAAUUAUUUUGCUUCUUUUCCACUGGCAGCCACAUUGUUAAUCACACGCCAUGCUUCAUUGUUAAGUAAGCGAACGGCGUGUGUAAAAUUACAUAGCAUUCGGUAAUAUAACCAAGCUUUUAAUCUCAAACAAAAAUAAUUGAAUGUGUAAUUUAAUCAAAGCAGGCUAGAAUUCAUCAUUUAGUUAAACUGCAAUAAGGCGGCAACCUGGACUUUUAUUCUUACCGCACAGGCUGAAAAAUAAUUAUUUCCCCUCCCGUACAUCAACGUCUUUGCCUAAAGUGCAUUCUGGUCUAGGGUGUAAGAAGUUUCCUGCGCUGAGUACACAUUCUUUGUGGAAAAAGCAGCCGGCUCAAAGAGACAAAACCACUCUGCAAGACAGUGCCCAGGUCUGUCUCAUGCUCCCAUCCACUAGAAGCCGGGGAGGACACACCACAGCACCCCGAGGACGGCAACACGAGGAACGGCCCUCCAGAGGUACUGAGGAGCCAUGCCUUUCCUUCACUCCAAGUUCACUUUUUAUUACUUAAAGACCUCAAAAGGGAAGAAACGGUUCAACCCAGUUCCACUCAAAUUCUAACAGCACUGACUUUCAGAAAAAACAUCCUAAAAUACAAGGGCUUAGUAAACCUGCUCAAGCUCUUGCUAAAUGUACUGCCAAGCUACUUCGACUCAUAUUCGAAAAUGGAUGACACUGCCAGUGGAUGCACAGGCUGGGAUCAUAAUUUGCACACACACUAAAUACAAAUGGUAUGGAAAAGCUAGACUCAAGCUGAUCGUCCAUCAACAGAUAUGGCCAUCUUCCAUGAAGGAACACAUGCCAUGGAUCAAAGAACACACUGAUUAAUCCAACAGAGACCAAAGUCUGUCACUCUGGUCAUGGUGCAAAGAUGUGCCAAACCCAAUCACUAGAGAGAGUAAACAAAUGCGAGGCAAAAACCAAAGCAAAAUUGGUUUCAAAGAAGGGUGGAGCUGCCAACUACCCAUCUAAAUGCGACUUGAUCAGGUAAAAUAUCUUUCCUUCCCUAGCACUGUGUUAAAUCAUGACUUCCCUUUUCUUAAAACAACAUCUCUCAGUCUGCUGACGCCAGGUAACUCUCACUCGCAUUGUAAUCAUUUAAUAUCAUAUUAGGUCAUCAGCUUUCUUGCUACGGGAUCCCACAGAAUCUCUAGUUUCUCAUCACACACACACAGCCUCAUAAACAGAUUUAAAGAUAUAUCUGCUCAUGUUGUUGACUGUGAAAUUAGUUCUCUUACGUGACAGGAAUCAUUGCUAGUGGGAACACUGGCCACAGAGAGAAAAGGGUGAGAGGCAAACAAAAUCAGAGCAUUACUAGUGUGUGUCAGAAAGAACCUGCCAUGAUUUUACGGACCAGUCAGCUGCCCAGAACUCAGACGCAGCUCAGUCCAUGGCAGUGUUUCUUUCCCAUGAGAAGAGGACAAACAGCUGGAGCCACAGAAGGAAUCCUUAACUUCCACUCCUCAGUCCACAAAUACACACUCUUGGAGUGGGGGCACACGACUCAAAACAAAGACGUACUACUCAGUGUGGGAGGCUGCUAGUGGGUCUCAGGGUCUCAAGGGGAGGUGGGAAUAGGGUGUAGAUUCGAACUGAGCAACAAACACAUUUCU